UACGUAGGGGGCUAGCGUUAUCCGGAAUUACUGGGCGUAAAGGGUGCGUAGGUGGUUUCUUAAGUCAGAGGUGAAAGGCUACGGCUCAACCGUAGUAAGCCUUUGAAACUGGGAAACUUGAGUGCAGGAGAGGAGAGUGGAAUUCCUAGUGUAGCGGUGAAAUGCGUAGAUAUUAGGAGGAACACCAGUUGCGAAGGCGGCUCUCUGGACUGUAACUGACACCGAGGCACGAAAGCGUGGGGAGCAAACAGG
rnacentral:rRNA from 1 species